rnacentral:piRNA from 1 species
CUUUAACACUUUGGGAUGUAAUCGGAUCCA